rnacentral:sRNA from 1 species
AGCCUAAACCAUUGAGCAAUCAACGGCAUGGCAUAAAAUUCCAUAUGAACAUACUGAACCCGUCGUUCAGGCAACUGUUCAUAUGGUCAUGCUUCGAAAGGAGUGUGGGGACGCAAGUCUC